rnacentral:rRNA from 1 species
AUUGAACGCUGGCGGCAGGCCUAACACAUGCAAGUCGAACGGUAACAGGAAGAAGCUUGCUUCUUUGCUGACGAGUGGCGGACGGGUGAGUAAUGUCUGGGAAACUGCCUGAUGGAGGGGGAUAACUACUGGAAACGGUAGCUAAUACCGCAUAACGUCGCAAGACCAAAGAGGGGGACCUUCGGGCCUCUUGCCAUCGGAUGUGCCCAGAUGGGAUUAGCUAGUAGGUGGGGUAACGGCUCACCUAGGCGACGAUCCCUAGCUGGUCUGAGAGGAUGACCAGACACACUGGAACUGAGACGCGGUCCAGACUCCUACGGGAGGCAGCAGUGGGGAAUAUUGCACAAUGGGCGCAAGCCUGAUGCAGCCAUGCCGCGUGUAUGAAGAAGGCCUUCGGGUUGUAAAGUACUUUCAGCGGGGAGGAAGGGAGUAAAGUUAAUACCUUUGCUCAUUGACGUUACCCACAGAAGAAGCACCGGCUAACUCCGUG